GUGCCAGCCGCCGCGGUAAUACGGAGGAUGCAAGCGUUAUCCGGAUUUAUUGGGUUUAAAGGGUGCGCAGGCGGGAAAUUAAGUCAGUGGUGAAAUCCUGCAGCUUAACUGUAGAAUUGCCAUUGAUACUGAUUUUCUUGAGUGCAGUUGAGGUGGGCGGAAUGUGUAAUGUAGCGGUGAAAUGCUUAGAUAUUACACAGAACACCGAUUGCGUAGGCAGCUCACUAAACUGUUACUGACGCUCAGGCACGAAAGCGUGAGGAGCGAACAGGAUUAGAAACCCCGGUAGUCC
rnacentral:rRNA from 1 species